UUUCAUGGAAAAUACUUCAAGAUGCAAGUUUAAAUUAUUGCGUUUACAACUCUGUGGCAUUUUUCGCCAUAAUAAAAACCUCACAAUAAUUUCUGAAUUUACAGUAUUGACUUCUUCACAGUCCUUAGCCAUUUUGAAUUUGGAAAAGCUUCAUGCUAUCUGUCUGAUUGUUAAUUCGUGUAGACCAGGGCACAUACCAUUAUCUGUCUGAUUGUUUAUUCAUAUAGACCAGGGCACAUACCAUUAUCUGUCUGAUUGUUUAUUCAUGUAGACCAGGGCACAUACAAUUAUCUGUCUGAUUGUUUAUUCAUGUAGACCAGGGCACAUACAAUUAUCUGUCUGAUUGUUAAUUCAUGUAGACCUAGGCACAUACAAUUAUCUGUCUGAUUGUUUAUUCAUGUAGACCUGGGCACAUACAAUUAUCUGUCUGAUUGUUUAUUCAUGUAGACCAGGGCACAUACCAUUAUCUGUCUGAUUGUUUAUUCAUGUAGACCAGGGCACAUACCAUUAUCUGUCUGAUUGUUUAUUCAUAUAGACCAGGGCACAUACAAUUAUCUGUCUGAUUGUUAAUUCAUGUAGACCAGGGCACAUACAAUUAUCUGUCUGAUUGUUUAUUCAUGUAGACCUGGGCACAUACAAUUAUCUGUCUGAUUGUUAAUUCAUGUAGACCAGGGCACAUACAAUUAUCUGUCUGAUUGUUUAUUCAUGUAGACCAGGGCACAUACAAUUAUCUGUCUGAUUGUUAAUUCAUGUAGACCAGGGCACAUACAAUUAUCUGUCUGAUUGUUUAUUCAUGUAGACCUGGGCACAUACAAUUAUCUGUCUGAUUGUUUAAUUCAUGUAGACCAGGGCACAUACAAUUAUCUGUCUGAUUGUUUAUUCAUGUAGACCAGGGCACAUACAAUUAUCUGUCUGAUUGUUAAUUCAUGUAGACCUGGGCACAUACAAUUAUCUGUCUGAUUGUUUAUUCAUGUAGACCUGGGCACAUACAAUUAUCUGUCUGAUUGUUAAUUCAUGUAGACCAGGACACAUACCAUUAUCUGUCUGAUUGUUUAUUCAUGUAGACC
rnacentral:lncRNA from 1 species